rnacentral:rRNA from 1 species
GAUGAACGCUGGCGGCGUGCUUAACACAUGCAAGUCGAACGAAGCACUUUAUUUGAUUUCCUUCGGGACUGAUUAUUUUGUGACUGAGUGGCGGACGGGUGAGUAACGCGUGGGUAACCUGCCUUGUACAGGGGGAUAACAGUUGGAAACGGCUGCUAAUACCGCAUAAGCGCACGGCAUCGCAUGAUGCAGUGUGAAAAACUCCGGUGGUAUAAGAUGGACCCGCGUUGGAUUAGCUAGUUGGUGAGGUAACGGCCCACCAAGGCGACGAUCCAUAGCCGACCUGAGAGGGUGACCGGCCACAUUGGGACUGAGACACGGCCCAAACUCCUUCGGGAGGCAGCAGUGGGGAAUAUUGCACAAUGGGCGAAAGCCUGAUGCAGCGACGCCGCGUGAGCGAAGAAGUAUUUCGGUAUGUAAAGCUCUAUCAGCAGGGAAGAUAAUGACGGUACCUGACUAAGAAGCACCGGCUAAAUACGUG